rnacentral:rRNA from 1 species
GAUGAACGCUGGCGGCGUGCCUAAUACUUGCAAGUCGAGCGAACGGACGAGAAGCUUGCUUCUCUGAUGUUAGCGGCGGACGGGGGAGUAACACGUGGAUAACCUACCUAUAAGACUGGGAUAACUUCGGGAAACCGGAGCUAAUACCGGAUAAUAUUUUGAACAGCAUGGUUCAAAAGUGAAAGACGGUCUUGCUGUCACUUAUAGAUGGAUCCGCGCUGCAUUAGCUAGUUGGUAAGGUAACGGCUUACCAAGGCAACGAUGCAUAGCCGACCUGAGAGGGUGAUCGGCCACACUGGAACUGAGACACGGUCCACACUCCUACGGGAGGCAGCAGUAGGGAAUCUUCCGCAAUGGGCGAAAGCCUGACGGAGCACCGCCGCGUGAGUGAUGAAGGUCUUCGGAUCGUAAAACUCUGUUAUUAGGGAAGAACAUAUGUGUAAGUAACUGUGAACAUCUUGACGGUACCUAAUCAGAAAGCCACGGCUAACUACGUG